rnacentral:rRNA from 1 species
UACGAAGGGGGCUAGCGUUGCUCGGAAUCACUGGGCGUAAAGGGUGCGUAGGCGGGUCUCUCAGUCAGGGGUGAAAUCCUGGAGCUCAACUCCAGAACUGCCUUUGAUACUGGAGAGCUUGAGUCCGGAAGAGGUGAGUGGAACUCCGAGUGUAGAGGUGAAAUUCGUAGAUAUUCGGAAGAACACCAGUGGCGAAGGCGGCUCACUGGUCCGGUACUGACGCUGAUGUGCGAAAGCGUGGGGAGCAAACAGG